UUGCUCCUCUUCCAGUCCAGCUCUCUGCUGUGGCCCAGGAGUGCAGUGGAGGAUGGCCCAAGUGCUUGGGCCCUGCACCUGCAUGGGAGACCAGGAGAAGCACAUGGCUCCUGGCUUCGGAUCAGCGCAGUGCGCUGGCCGCAGCGGCCAUUGGGGGGUGAACCAACGGCAAAGGAAGACCUUUCUCUCUGUCUCUCUCUCUCACUGUCCACUCUGCCUGUCCAAAAAAAAAAUUUCCUGGUUUAGUCCUUCAUAUAAAUUUUUAAAAACUGAAAGCCAUCCCGGCAGAAGGGAUGCACACGCCAAAGAGUUGAUGAUCACAGGGACUGCUUGAGGAGCAGCAAGUGGGACAAUUCAUCACAUGUUUGCAGCCAAAAGCUCCCAUUAAAAUGCUCAUUCAAGGUUCUGUGGUUGUGGUGUAGCAGGCCAAGUCUAUGCCUGUGGUGCUGGCAUCCCAUAUGGGUGCUUGUUCUGCUUACGUCCUGGGAAAGCAGUGGAAGAUGGUGAAAAUGGCCUGAGUGCUUGGGUCCCUGAAAUCAAAUGGGAGACCUAGAAGAAGCUCCUGGAUCCUGGCUUCAGAUUGGUCCAGCUCCAGUCAUUGUGGCCAUUGGGGAAUGAACCAGCAGAUGGAAGACCUUUCUCUCUGUGUGUUCCUCUCUGUAUGUAACUCUACCUCUCAAACAAAUAAAAAUAAAAUUUUAAAAAGUCUAUUAAAAUUAAUAAAAGCUUUUGAGCUAUGUAGAUGAAGUUGAUCAAGAUCUUCAUCAGUAUCAGUAGUUAGUACAGUGGAGUUAAGUAGAACCUUUGCUCGUAUCACUGAGAAGACCACGUCUGGCAGAAGAGUUGGGUGAUGUUUGUGGAGUGGGUGGUGACGGCGUGUGUAUUGGGCUGUCAAGGAAGCCUGGACCAGGGACGACUGAAGAUCAGUUCCCUCGGGCCCUCACUGACUACCAUGGGCACACAUUUUACUGGGCCUGGUGGUGCACCACCAUGUGGCACUGUGGUUCUGGAAAAUGCUGUGCUGAACAAGGUUGUCAACUUUCUCUUGAAUACUUACACUCUUGGAAUAGAUUCUUCUCUCCUUUGAAGGGUUUAAUAGUUUUCAUGUCUUUUUCAUGAUUAGUUGAUAUAGUCUAGUGGAAUGAGCCAUCAUAUGGUAGAAGGAGUUGUGGGACUGGAUUUCAAAGGUCUAGGCAGUGAUUCUUUGUAACGUUUUACAUACUUGUGCCCUGAGUGUUUUCACAAUAGACUUGAAACACUUUGAAAUAAAAAUACCAGGUGGGACAGAUGUUUGGCACAGUGGUUCAGCCACUGCUUGGGAUGCCCACAUCCCAUAUUGGACAGCCUGGAUUUGAUUCCAGCCUCCUGCCAAUGUGCAGGCUGGGAGCCAGCAGGUAAUGGGUCCCUGAUACCUAUGUGGGAGACCCAGAUAGAGUUCUUGGUCCCCUGGCUUUAGCCUGGGCUAUCCUUGGCUGUUUCAUCCGUUUGAGUAGUGAACCAGUGAGUGAAAGAUGUCUUUAUGUCUCUUACUGUAUGUAUUUCAUGCUCUGUCUUUCUACCCUUUCCAAUCAAAAAAUGAAAAUAAUUUUCUCAAAAGUUAAAGAGAAAAAUAAAUAAAUCUCAGAGUAAAACUAAAACUCAUUCAGACACAGAUACUUUAAAUAAGAUUAAAGUGCAAUUUUUUGAACUAUUCUUUAUUUUCUUCAUUUAUUCAAACAGCAAGAAAAUUCAGUAAUUACCUAAAUAACAUGAAUAGGUAGUCUUUUUUAUCUAACUUGGGAAACUAACAAGGUAAAUCUUUGAAGCCAAUGCUGAAUAAACAAAAAUAUGUAUUUUAUUUUAAAUUACAAUUCUGAUUCAUUUAUCUGUGAGUGAACUUCCCUAGUACUCUGUGUCCUAGAACAAUGGGCAUACUUCUUCACACUGAUCAGAAAGAGUCAUCUUAUAGGUAAAAGUGUGACAUGAUCCACCUUACUUUACUAUUGCCUAUAUCACGUAAAGACUGGGUUUUGGGAGUUGCAUUUUCUUCUGAGCACUUAGGUGUCACCUGGCAAAAACUAAUUUAUCAUAAGAGUGACCAGGCUUCAUAGAGACUUUGCAAGACUGAGAGAAGCAAGGAUAGUGCAGGUUUUAACCAAUAUUGUCUUUUUUUCUUUUUCAUGAGAAAUCAUUGAGCAUCUAAUAGUGUUUUCAAACUUCAUGGAAAAUCUGGAGCAAAAGUUACAAACAUGCAAACGUCAAGGGUCAAAUCAAACUCUCUUUUCCAGCAAGUUAAGCGGCUGUCUGGCUUCCUCCUGCUGGUAUUCAUCUCCAGUCAGUUAGCAAGUCCUGGUUGUGCCUACGUACAUGAGUGAGUGAUGGAUGAGUCCAGGAUUGAGCCUAAAAGAUAACUGAUCUUGACUUCAAAACCACAUCAUUGUCCAUGAAGAGUUGGUGCGGUGCCUUUCUCCCGAUCUGGUUUACAUUUUGUGCCUUGGCUGGCACAGGUUAUCCCUUGUGUGUCAGAGUCCUUUAUGAAAAGAGCUGGUUUCAGCUGGUGCCGUAGAGCUCACGUAAGGAAGUCUGGCUCUAGGCAUGGAACAUUCUCAGCUACCUUCACUGAAGUAUUCUCCCUUCCUCUUCUACUUUCUUACUAGGUACGUAUAUGCUUAACUUUCUUUGCAUUCCUUCUCUCUCUCUCGCUCUCUCUCCCUUUGUCUCUCUUUCUUUCUUUUUACCUCCAUGGCAUGUGAGCAUUAGAGAUAAUUUCUCCUGCACCUUCUGCCUGGUUGAUUAGCUCUGUUAGGAAGCUUGCAGCUAAGCUGAGAUGCCAGUUAUACUCGCGGAAAGUCAUCUUAUUUCAUAGAAUGUUUCUAAAUUACCAAGUUUAAAUCAAAUAAAUCAGGAGCACCAUGAGUGACUAAGCACGGUUAGUGGAGCAUACUCCAGAGGGAACUCGGUCUGAAUCUUACAUCCUCUCUGCAAACUGUGCUGAAGUUUCUGUCUCGAUUUCCUCAGUGACAAAAUAGAGCAAAGCUAAUUCCUGCAUGUUGUGCACAUUCUGAAAUAUAAAUGAGGUGAUCUUUUCAGUUGCUUAGAGUUAAAUGAUCACAUCAUUGACAGAUAAGAGAAAGGAUAGGAAAAUGAUGGAACAAAUCCACUGGGUUAAAAUUUUACAAGAGAGAGGGAAAGAUAUAAAGAGAGAUACUUAGACACUCAAAGAGAAAAACACUAACCCUGUUCAAAUUAAACUGCAAUUGGUGACAUUUUAAUAUUACAUAUGACCCACAGUUAUAAAAUACGGCUUCAUAAGACAAAAUAUCAAAAUUCUUAAUAAAACAUAAAUAAAUAACAGUAAGAAUCAUAAAAAAAUACAGCUUCAAACCUAGAAUGAUAUUCAUAUCAAUUGGAUCUUCCCCAAAUUUACAUUGCUCUCCACUGCAGUAUUUUAUGUGAAUGUGGAUAUUUUCCACGGGUUAUUAUGCCCCAUUGAGUUAUUAGCACCUCCUAGAGUACUUCAUGAUGUCAGCUCCUUCGUAUGCAUUCCCAUGGAAACAGAAUAUAGUAUAACACAACUGAGAAGGGGCCCACAUGCCUUUCCUGUGUAUAUCUUCAGGAAUAGAAUUAACUAGGGGAAUGAAUAUGUGGUGAUUGUGGGGUUUCACAGUGAAUCUCUCUGCAUCUCUCAAAGACUUCUGUUUUUAAUAAACUUUACUAGAAAUGUAACAUUACCAAAAAGUAUAAUCAAGUACAUUGUAUAUGUAUGAAUCAUAACAAAAGGGGAUUAGAUAAUGUUUUUGUUUAUAUAAAUGGGCUGUUUCACAGCUGAUAUUUAUUUUUUAGUGGAAAAAUUUGUUUGGGUGAAGCAAAGGAGUCUGGGUGAAAGGCUUUAGAAGGAGAUGACUUACAGUCAAGUAAAGUUUGUGAAUCUACAUGCAGUUGACCACAGUGUUCUCUCAAACAACUUCAGGUUAACUUUACCCCUUGUGCGGGCUGAGUUGGUAAACUCCAUGGGCUGAAAACUUGUCCGAAUCCUCAGAAGGAACUGUCCUAAUGAUGAUUCCUAACUUUCGGGUCUUGAACAAUUAACUUGGCUCAGACUUCAUUUUCUACCUUGUGAAACACAGCUAUUGAAAGUCUAACACAUUGGGCCGGCGCCGUGGCUCACUAGGCUAAUCCUCCACCUGCAGCGCCGGUACUCCGGGUUCUAGUCCCAGUUGGGGUACCAGCUCUGUCCCAGUUGCUCCUCUUCCAGCCCAGUUCUCUGCUGUGGCUGGGGCGGGGUGGGGGAAGUGGAGGAUGGCCCAAGUGCUUGUGCCCCUGCACUCGCAUGGGAGACCAGGAGGAAGCACAUGGCUCCUGGAUUCAGAUCAGUGCGCACCAGCCAAAGCGGCCAUUUUGGGGGGUGAGCCAACGGAAAAGGAAGACCUUUCUCUCUGUCUCUCUCUCUCACUGUCUAACUCUGCCUAUCAAAAAGAAAAAAAGUCUAACACAUUGAACAUGUGUGCUAUGAUCAUUUUGAACACUCUCCUAAUGCAAGGUGUCCGGCGUGUAACAAAUCUUCCCAGGCAGAUGAAUCAAUUAAUUCACAGGCUUUUAUUGGGGUUCCGCUCCCGAGCGAGGUUCCCCGGUCCCAACAGAGUGGGGAAAGUCACGUGUCAGAGAUUGGGAGGGCUCCUUUUAUAGAUUCAGGGCAUGGGGGUUAAAGGUUGAGGCGGGUCUGAUCCUCACUGGUUGACCUUUAGGCAUCCGCGGGGACCUUGACAAGGACUUUUCUUCCCCGGAAGUACAGGUAGGGACUCUCCAUUCCUGGAAGUGUAGGCCUUCCCUCCUUGCAGAUCCCAAAGCUACCACCUAAGUCAUGAAAUGAUCUGUAAUCAUCAUGCGAAGACUGAGAAAUAAGAGGGGUAAGAAAAAUCAAGGUACACUUUGAACAUAUAUGUAAUUACACCAGCAAAAAAUUGUAUUACAAAAAAGGGAAAUUUAAAGAAUUAACCCUAUGUUAAUACUUUUAUUAAGAUUUAUUUUAUUUAUUUGAAAGACAGAGUGGGCCGGCGCCGCGGCUCACUAGGCUAAUCCUCCGCCUAGCGGCGCCAGCACACCGGGUUCUAGUCCCGGUCGGGGCACCGGAUUCUGUCCCGGUUGCCCCUCUUCCAGGCCAGCUCUCUGCUGUGGCCAGGGAGUGCAGUGGAGGAUGGCCCAGGUGCUUGGGCCCUGCACCCCAUGGGAGACCAGGAUAAGCGCCUGGCUCCUGGCUCCUGCCAUCGGAUCAGCGCGGUGCGCCGGCCGCGGCGGCCAUUGGAGGGUGAACCAAUGGCAAA